rnacentral:tRNA from 1 species
AGUUGCAUUCAGGAGAUGUAAUGUAGAAUUUUACAGGCCUUC